rnacentral:tRNA from 1 species
GCCUUCGUGGUGUAGUGGUUAGCACGCUCGGCCCGUAUCUAGAGGUUCAUGGUUCGAGUCCCAGCGAGGGCA